rnacentral:rRNA from 1 species
UACAUGGGGUGCAAACGUUGCUCGGAAUUAUUGGGCGUAAAGCGCGCGUAGGCGGUUACUUAAGUCGGAUGUGAAAGCCCUCGGCUUAACUGAGGAAGUGCACCCGAAACUGAGUAGCUAGAGUACGAAAGAGGGUCGCGGAAUUCCCGGUGUAGAGGUGAAAAUGCGUAGAUAUCAGGAGGAACACCUGUGGUGUAGACAGCUUACGUGGACCACGACUGACGCUGAGACACGAAAGCGUGGGUAGCAACAGG